AUGGCUAUGAAGAUGAGAUUGUAUCUACUAUUAUGGAUUGCAUUGCCAGCAGGUAUUUGCAGAGCUGACUUUGUAAAACAGUCGAGCCUUGAAGAAACUGCAAGGGAAGGGGACUCUAUAACUUUGGACUGUGAAUAUGAAACAAAAAGUACAUCACCAUAUCUAUUCUGGUACGUUCAGUAUCCUGGGAAAAACCCUCAGAAUAUUUUAAGAAUAGCAGGAUUUAAGUUAGAAGAUGGAUCAUCCAAUGGAAAGUUUUCAGCCACACUUUUAGACAAAAAGUUUAUUCCCUUGCGGAUAUCUGAUCUUGUUCCUUCUGACACUGGAGUCUACAUCUGCGCUGUGAGUGACACAGUGUGUCAGUACAGACAUUACCCUACAAGAAACUUUCGAGUUAUCUGUGAUCCUAAAGUCAAUGACAUUUAG